rnacentral:rRNA from 1 species
ACCUUGCGCGAAUGGAGCGGCCGAUGUCAGAUUAGCUAGUUGGUGGGGUAAAGGCCUACCAAGGCGACGAUCUGUAGCGGGUCUGAGAGGAUGAUCCGCCACACUGGGACUGAGACACGGCCCAGACUCCUACGGGAGGCAGCAGUGGGGAAUUUUGGACAAUGGGCGCAAGCCUGAUCCAGCCAUGCCGCGUGCGGGACGAAGGCCUUCGGGUUGUAAACCGCUUUCAGCCGGAAAGAAAUCGCCAAGGCUAAUAUCCUUGGUGGAUGACGGUACCGGAAGAAGAAGCACCGGCUAACUACGUGCCAGCAGCCGCGGUAAUACGUAGGGUGCGAGCGUUAAUCGGAAUUACUGGGCGUAAAGGGUGCGCAGGCGGUUUUGCAAGCCAGACGUGAAAUCCCCGGGCUUAACCUGGGAACUGCGUUUGGAACUGCAAGACUAGAGUGUGUCAGAGGGAGGUGGAAUUCCACGUGUAGCAGUGAAAUGCGUAGAUAUGUGGAGGAACACCGAUGGCGAAGGCAG